CGCAGCCUUACAACACUGUUCAGUACAGAUCUUCGAGUCACGGUACAAUCAGUCACACAUCAAAAUUAACAAUGCUGAUGAAUACGACAAUGUUGCUGAACUGGCAGCGUGCAGUUGGACUUAACCCUUAAAGGAGUACCAUCACACCUACAACAUUCUACAACAGUCUAUUGUCUAUUGCCUGGUGAUUAUAAUAUUAGGAGUUGUAUGUUGCUCGACACAAUAAAGCCAUUAAAUUCA